GGGGUUAUAGUUAAUAAUAACAUUUAAUUUGCAAUUAAAAAUUACCUAAUAUAUAAGGUUUACCUCA
rnacentral:tRNA from 1 species